GUCAGAGCCCGGCCCGCACCUGCGGAGCGCCCGCCCCGGGGACCCGCGCACCGGAGCGCUCGGUGCGAGGGAAGGCGGGGGAGACCCCCCCGGCUGCCGCCCCGAAUGGGCAUCCCAGGGGUUAAACAUGGCCGGAAAGAGCGUGUGGGGGGAGGAAAAAGUCCAAAAAUGAUAAAAAAGGGGGAUUCCGUGCGGCCAUCAGGCUCCGCACGACGGGGUCCCCCGGCUGGCGCUGGCAGCGCUCCCGCGGCAUCACUGCCCGCACACGGCCCCGCAGCCCGGGAUGCCGCGGGUGCGGCUCGCGUGGGGCUCCGCGGCUCGUUCGGAGGCCGAGAGUGACUCCUGGUGGCACGGCCGGCCCGGGGAGGAGGAGGAGGUGGUGAAGAAGAGCUGGGCUCCAUCAGCCACGAAAGGAAGGGUCCGAUCCCCGCAAUGGGAAGUAGCGCUGAAGUUUUGGCACAUCACAGCUGUUUUUUCACUGAAAUGCAUCAACAUUUAGAGAUCACGCCUCCAUCAAGAACCUCCUGGCAAGAUGAACUGCCCCAAAUCAAGGACGUGUCAUUUCCAAAUCCUAGUAGCCAAAAAAACCUCAUUGCUUAAGUCCCUAUUUGAGCUGCUAUCUAGACUCCAUUAUCCACAAAAUACAGGUUUCCAACAGAGCAGAUUUUAAAGAGUAAGUCUUUGGUUAUUGUUGCCUUAAAAUAAAUCUCCUAAAACACGUUUUACAAGCAUUUUUCUACUCUCCAGUGAGACCUGAGAGUGCUUGGGUCUGAGAAGGAAUAUGCAAACUACAGAUGAGAUGCAGAAAUCCUUAGUUUCAAGCAAUUUUUGGGAGCUUAUUUUUUGCUUUAUGAAUUGUAUAAAAAUACUACCUGGAGAAGAAAAAGUAAUAAUCAAUCCCAUGAAGAGGAAAAACAAUACUUGUCCUUAAUUUUACAUUUCUUAUGGAGUGUGAAUCAAUGGUCAAAUUCCAACUAAUUGAUUAAAAGAAAAUCCAAGACAGCCAGGAUUUUACUUUCAUUCCAUGAUUAAACACACAUCAUGCCUUCAUUAGCAAAAAUUACAAAUGGGAAUAAAACAGAUGCCCUAAACACAUCCUGCCAGAGUCCUUGACAAUUAAAAUUUCCUUGCAUUAGCUCUACCUGAUGCCAAAUCAGCUACAAAAAUGUCACAGGCUUUUUACUGAGGGUGUUAUCAGGAGUGUACUUUGAAUCCUUUGUACCA